ACAGCGCGGCUCAGCUGGGAUCCUGCCUCUUAUCCAGUGCAAACUCCUCCUCCUCCCUCCCUCUCUCCUCCCUCCAUGCCUCCUCCCCUCGCUUGCUCUCCCUCGUUCCAGCUCCCAAAUCGCAGACGCCGUGGUGAGGGACCCCAGGGACUUGGUUCAAGUAAGGUUAGGGCUGUAGCAGCGUCUGCACAGCUCGGCUCCCUGUCUCCCAGGAUCUGUUCGUGUGUACCUCUAUACAGCAUCCACAUAUCUAUUCCCAGAAAGCAGGGCGAAUUAGUGAGAGUCACAGACGUGAGUAGGUUCAGGGAGGCAUUUCUUCAUGGAUACCCUUGGUGACCCUUUGAUGGGAUGUCAAACACCCCAGGAAAAGCAGGCACUGAUGUUAAGAGGCAUCGCCUUUGCAAACAGCAAGGCAAGCUGCCAGCCCCGCACCUCGGCUUCUCCUCCUGUCUGUUGUGGGUUCACCCCCUCCUCCUCUUCCCAUGUUUUUCAGGUGAAGAAGCACACCUCCUUACUUUUCUGCCAAAUAAGCCACCUUUCUUUCAGCUUCUGUAGUUGAGCGCUGGCAUUCCUUUUCCUACAGGCAUUUUUUUCUGAGCCCUGGCUUUUCAGACCAUGUCAGUUUUGAAACCCCACAGCUUUCACAUCCCUGCUUUGUCAGAAUCCUGGCAUCACCAGCCAGCAGCACAAAAGUGCAGCAGAGACCAACUGAGGGAGCUUCUCAUGAAAAGAACAGGCACUUAGAGCUGAUGGUGCCCAAAUCGAGCCUGGACUAGAGCCUGUCAGGAGUGCUGUAACACUUUUCUUUUUUGCCUACAUCUCUGGAAGCUGGGAAAUGAUGAUUAGCACAGAGUAGUUGCAGUUCAAGUUGCGUACGUUAUAUGCUGUGCCUAACUGCAAUCCCUUUGUACAGAUAAUGCACAGAAGAGCUCGAGCCCAGGCAUCAUUUCACUGUUUUCCCUGUUUCCCUGUUGACUGUUGACAGCAUGCAGUCUGCGAGUCAGAAGGCAUUUAAGGACAGACGAGCCUCCAGCACCCGGUGUGUGUCCCUGCCCUCUGUUGGUGCUGCGAACAGCCUUGUCCCUCUUCCAGGGCUGCAGGAAAUGCUAACGCUGAAAAACUUCUGCUGUUUACACCAUCCUGUCCAGUCCUGGUCUCUCAGAAACCCUGGAUCACAGUGAGAUAUAAGCUACUGUGCUUCCGCUCCUUUAUAAAGAUGCAUCAGCAGCCAGUCCUGCUUAUACCAGGACUUUUUGUUCCAGAUUUAGCAAACAAAGCUUGUUCAUAAUACUGAACUUCACUGGGAAAGUUCAGAGUGGUACGUGAAAUAGCUUGUUAGGAGGCAGGCUGCACCUCUGUUCCUUGAGUCAUGGGAUGGGACUUAAAUCAGGAAAAAUAUCCUUCCCUCUUGACUCAUGGGUUUUGAACAUUCUUUCAAUAUUAUCAGCAGGAACGUGCCUGCCAAAUCCCAUGUGUAGAGCAGAGGAGGAGGUCUUUUCCCCCUGAGACAGGACUUUCUGGCACCUUGUCAAUUUUCUUUUUUUUUUUUGUUCCUCUUCCAUAGAAUUACUGCUCUCUGAAAAUCUUAAUUCAUUUUUUUUCCUGUCUCCCUACAUGGUGGAUGAAAACAAGCAAAUGUUACUACAAUCAGUUCCAAGGAAAUAAGAUUACUUCACAACAAUUACUAUGCCACAAAGAGGGGAGUUCCUACAAGUGCACAAAAAGAUGCUGGGUACUUCUCAUUCCAGCCAGACAAAAGUACAGCUGCAGCAGUAUCGAGAACCACUCUUUGUCCUCUACAACAGGAGAAGAAACAAGAAAGGUAGCAGAAAGAAGAGGCCAAGAGUCACCACAGGAGAAGCCAGGUCACAGCCAGCGCCGGCAGCCCUAGGGAGCAGCGCCUGCUAUUGGCUUUGCAGGGCACUUCUUCGGUGACACUGGGCAAGUUAAGCUGUGUGCUAUAAAUUCCUUCUCUGGGAAAUGGAGCAAAACUAUUUUUAGUACUUCUAGGAGUCUAAAACAGAGCUAGACACGAUUAACAUACACUUACGGAGAUUACCGAGAGUUAAGAGUAGAGGUCAAAACCCCACGGUCUCUUCUUUUAGCCUAGAGUGAAUACAUUUUUGAGGUGAAGGAUGGGGGAAAAAUGGGGAGUGUUUUGUUUGUCUGAAAUAUUUUGGGACUUAGAAAACACAAACAUUUAAACAAUGCUUUGAAGAGAUUACAGCCACUGCCCAAAGUUUUGUUCUUCCAAAAAAGUCCUUUGUUCAAGGAGACUCCUGCAAAAAUGUGUCUUCUGAGAACAGGGCACUUUUGAAAAUAUACUAUUUUGUAAUAAUUCUUAUGCUUCGUCUUUUUUUGGACAAAGCAGAUUUACAGUAAAAAGCAGACCUCUAGUUUGUACCAUUGCUCGUGACACUGUCCUUUUGUGGGACAAGAAACAGUCCAGGUUUAUUUUUUAACAUCACUCUUAUAGAAAGGGUGAUUUUCAGCUUUAUUUCUUUGGAUCCUAGGGUGCCUGCAGACUUGCGUAAGCAAUAGUUUCAAUUUCAGAUAUGUAGACCCCUGCAGCUUUUCCAGAGUGAGGAGGUGCUCUAAGGUUUGCAACAAAGCUUCUACUUUUCCUUAUUUAACUUGUGGAUAUCUGUAAUCUUUUCUGCCUCUUCAAAAAAGGUGACCAAAUGGACUUGACUUUGAAGGGAAAAGGUGUAUUAAGAAUAGGAAGAGCAAGUUUGUUUGUUUUGUUUUUAAUUGUGCACUGUAGGAAAAUGCAGCAUAUUGCAAAGGCCCCGAUUUUUGUGGCACUGUGAAUGCUGACUGACGUGACCCAUACUAGAUUUUAAAAUGCAAAUGAGCACCACACAGCACGAGCUUUUUCCAAUCCAGACAGACCAGAGCAAUUUCUUUGCACCAACACUAAGAACUUUAUAACUAUGCAAAUCAGCACCAACAGUUGGAUUGAUAUUUUAAUAAUUACACACUUUUUACAUUAUGAAAAUAAAUCAUAAAUAGUGUAAAAAUAAUUCUGAAGAUCAACUUC